UACGUAGGGUGCAAGCGUUAAUCGGAAUUACUGGGCGUAAAGCGUGCGUAGACGGUUAUGUAAGUCAGAUGUGAAAGCCCCGGGCUUAACCUGGGAAUGGCAUUUGAGACUGCAUAGCUAGGGUGCGGAAGAGGGAAGCGGAAUUUCCGGUGUAGCGGUGAAAUGCGUAGAUAUCGGAAGGAACACCAGUGGCGGAAAGCGGCUUCCUGGUCCAGCACCGACGUUCAGGCACGAAAGCG
rnacentral:rRNA from 1 species